CAGGUGCCCUUCUCUGUUGGUGGUUGGAGACAGCUCUCCUGCAGUUGACGCUGUGGUGGACUGCAAUGCUAAACUUGACCCAACA